UGUAGCUCAGUGGUAGAGCACUUGCCUAGCAUGUGUGAGGCCCUGGGUUCGAACCCAGCA
rnacentral:tRNA from 1 species